GUCCACCCAAACUGACAAGCAGGACCAGGAGACAAUGAAUGAGGGGAAGAUAGACGGAGCCAAAUAGAGGACAAGAGGACAAUGAGCCUAAACAUGCAGCCUGGGCUACAAUGGAAUAGUUCACAUCAAAGCAUUCAUGUUGUAAAACGGCCCAAAGCCCAAACCUCAACCACACCGAUUGGUUCUUAAAUGAGAUGAACAGUCAAACGUUUGGACACGUUUACUCAUUCGAUUCAAUGAGAAAGUGUCCAAACCUUUGGACUGAAUUGGGCUACAAAAACAUCUGUUGGUGUGAAGGUGUGAAGGUGUGGACUCUGCUAUGAAUCAGGUUGAGGACCCAGAGGACGGAGUCCCUCCCUCUGAAGCCCCUCUGUGUGGGGAACAUGACAGCCAGACCAAAGCUCAGAGGAUCCAUCAGAGACCAGGACCUGGACCUGGACCCAGCUGUGUGUCCAUGAAGAGUAACCGGUCUAUGGAUCGUCCUGUAGCCUUCAAAGAUGUUGGUCCCUCUGUUGAUGCAAGGUGAGGGUCUCAGGCUGAUGAUGAGGGUCCUUCCUCAAUACCUGAGACGGAGAGAACGGACUCACAGGUACAAGAGAACGUUCAUUUCCACAUGUGGAACAGCAGCUGAGUUGUUUAUUGGACAGCAAGUCUGAUCUGAUAACUGAGAUAUUUUAG
ensembl:lncRNA